rnacentral:rRNA from 1 species
CCAAUAGCGUAUAUUAAAGUUGUUGCAGUUAAAAAGCUCGUAGUUGAAUUUCGGGAUUGACGUGAUGGUCAUUGCCUUAAGGGGUAUGAACUGUCACUGUUGAUUUCUCUCACCUUCUGGAGAAACUUGAUGUCCUUUAUUUGGGUGUCUUGCGGAUCCAGAACCUUUACCUUGAAAAAAUUAGAGUGUUUAAAGCAGGC